GACGAGGGGUCCAAGCGUUGCUCGGAAUCAUUGGGCGUAAAGCGGGUGUAGGUGGCUUUGUAAGUCAGAAGUGAAAGCCCAGGGCUUAACCCUGGAAGUGCUUUUGAUACUGCAAAGCUUGAGUGUGGGAGAGGAUCGUGGAAUUCCAGGUGUAGUGGUGAAAUACGUAGAUAUCAGGAAGAACACCCGUGGCGAAGGCGGCUCUCUGGAACGCAACUGACGCUGAGACGCGAAAGCGUGGGGAGCAAACAGG
rnacentral:rRNA from 1 species